rnacentral:rRNA from 1 species
GAUGAACGCUGGCGGCGUGCCUAAUACAUGCAAGUCGAGCGAACAGAUGAGGAGCUUGCUCCUCUGACGUUAGCGGCGGACGGGUGAGUAACACGUGGAUAACCUACCUAUAAGACUGGGAUAACUUCGGGAAACCGGAGCUAAUACCGGAUAAUAUAUUGAACCGCAUGGUUCAAUAGUGAAAGACGGUUUUGCUGUCACUUAUAGAUGGAUCCGCGCCGCAUUAGCUAGUUGGUAAGGUAACGGCUUACCAAGGCAACGAUGCGUAGCCGACCUGAGAGGGUGAUCGGCCACACUGGAACUGAGACACGGUCCAGACUCCUACGGGAGGCAGCAGUAGGGAAUCUUCCGCAAUGGGCGAAAGCCUGACGGAGCAACGCCGCGUGAGUGAUGAAGGUCUUCGGAUCGUAAAACUCUGUUAUUAGGGAAGAACAAAUGUGUAAGUAACUAUGCACGUCUUGACGGUACCAAAUGAGAAAGCCACGGCUAACUACGUG